GAGGGGGGUUUUAGUACGUAUGCGCUGUCUAGACACGCCGGUGAAUCGUGCAUACUAUUGGAACUUGCCAAUAGUAUCUAGCAUAGAUUUCCACCUC
rfam:Drosophila ananassae strain TSC#14024-0371.13 Ctg01_17510, whole genome shotgun sequence.